rnacentral:rRNA from 1 species
AUUGAACGCUGGCGGCAUGCUUUACACAUGCAAGUCGAACGGUAACAGGCCGCAAGGUGCUGACGAGUGGCGAACGGGCGAGUAAUGCAUCGGAACGUGCCCAGUCGUGGGGGAUAACUACUCGAAAGAGUAGCUAAUACCGCAUACGAUCUAUGGAUGAAAGCGGGGGACCGUAAGGCCUCGCGCGAUUGGAGCGGCCGAUGUCAGAUUAGGUAGUUGGUGGGGUAAAGGCUCACCAAGCCAACGAGCUGUAGCUGGUCUGAGAGGACGACCAGCCACACUGGGACUGAGACACGGCCCAGACUCCUACGGGAGGCAGCAGUGGGGAAUUUUGGACAAUGGGCGCAAGCCUGAUCCAGCAAUGCCGCGUGCAGGAAGAAGGCCUUCGGGUUGUAAACUGCUUUUGUACGGAACGAAACGGCUCUGGUUAAUACCCGGGGCUAAUGACGGUACCGGAAGAAUAAGCACCGGCUAACUACGUG